rnacentral:rRNA from 1 species
CAUGUAGGCGGUCUGUCAAGCCAGGCGUGAAAGCCAGGGGCUCAACCCCUGAACUGCGCUCGGAACUGGCGGACUGGAGUCGCUGAGGGGGAACCGGAAUUCCUGGUGUAGGGGUGAAAUCUGUAGAUAUCAGGAAGAACACCGAUGGCGAAGGCAGGUUUCCAGCAGACGACUGACGCUGAGGUGCGAAGGUGCGGGGAGCAAACA